rnacentral:rRNA from 1 species
UACGUAGGGGGCAAGCGUUGUCCGGAGUUACUGGGCGUAAAGCGCACGCAGGCGGUCGCCUAAGUUUGGAGUGACAGUUCCCGGCUCAACUGGGAAAGUGCUUCGAAAACUGGACGACUUGAGGGCUUCAGAGGGACACGGAAUUCCGGGUGGAGUGGUGAAAUGCGUAGAUAUCAAGAGGAACACCUGCGGCGAAGGCGGGUUGCUGGGCUGACACUGACGCUGAAGCGCGAAAGCCAGGGGAGCGAACGGG